rnacentral:rRNA from 1 species
CAAUAGCGUAUAUUUAAGUUGUUGUAGUUAAAAAGCUCGUAGUUGGAUUUCGGUUAAGAGCGACCGGUCCGCCGUUUGGUGUGCACUGGUUGGUUUUAACUUCCUGUAGAGGACGUGCUCUGGGUUUAACGACCUGGACUCGGAGUCUACGUGGUUACUUUGAAAAAAUUAGAGUGUUCAAAGCGGGCUUACGCUUGAAUAUUUCAGCAUGGAAUAACACUAUAGGACUCCUGUCCUAUUUCGUUGGUCUCGGGACGGGAGUAAUGAUUAAGAGGAACAGUUGGGGGCAUUCGUAUUUCAUUGUCAGAGGUGAAAUUCUUGGAUUUAUGAAAGACGAACUUCUGCGAAAGCAUUUGCCAAGGAUGUUCUCAUUAA